rnacentral:lncRNA from 1 species
UGUGGAGUCAUGAUCUGAGAAACCAAAACAAGUCCUUAACCACAGAUAAAUGAAGGUUGGCUGAUCCCAGUUUGUAGAAAGCCAGAGGAAGCCCUCUGCUCUGACCCCAUGCCCUCUGGCAUCACAGCUGGUGCAUGAGCACAAAGACAGCUUCGAUAUAGAUGCUGCUGUGGGCACUUCACACAGGCUAGAUUGUAAAUUUGUCCAUUUAUGAGUGUCCUGUGGGGGUUCCCAACUUGGAAGACAAAGCAAGAGCUGAAGCGAACAAAGCAUAUCCAUAAAAGUUCCUCUGAUUGCCACUAUUAAUAAAAUGGAGGCCAUAAACAAAUUUGCUGUUUACUGUUUCUGAAGUGGGGGAGCAGGAAGCAGGGGAUGCUUCCCUGGGACUGAAGGAGGUGGUGUGCUGCACAGGGUAAGAGUGCAGGUAAGGUACAAAUGUGCUGUGAAAAGUAAGUGUGCCCACUGGGAAUGUUUUCCUUUACCCUUUCUUACUACUGGGCUGGGGACAGGAAUUUCAUACUACUUGAAAUCCCAAAUUGCCUUGGCAGAAGUUUGAGCAGCAUACAUAAAACAGAUACAUUUGGAUUUCUAUUUUGUUUUGUUUGUUCCUUAUAUAAAUUCAGAAAUGGAAGAGUAGUUUUAAACUGUCCUGGAAUGUAUUAUAAUACUCCAGUGCACAUGAAGGUCCAUGUCCAAUCUGCAUAUUUUUAAUUUUCAUUCACCCGUUCUAGCAAUAAGGACAAUAUGCUUAUUUUUGAUGCCAAAGGCUAUUAUGAAGCAUAAGAUAUGGUCCAAAAAUCACAGCAGUUUCAUACAAGUGACUCAGUUUUGAAGGAAUAAUUGACAGAGAAAGCUACAUUUCUUCAAAAAUGCCAGGCCCAGUGGUUCUUUUCAGCCCUGUGUACAGAGAUGGGUUCAGACAAUGGUCUCACUUCUAAGCUGUAUGUGUUCUUGCCUUUUCCAGGACUCUGCUGUGGUUUGCUGCUCAUGGCGAGGAGUUCUGCAAAGCACUGACGUGGCUGGCAAAAUGGGGAACAAAACUUGGGUAGAGGAGAUAACACAGCAGCCUUUCAGUUGUCCUGAAGGAGCCAGUUUUGGCCUGAGUGUGUGUCAGUUUGGCGCCUGCUGUAGUCUGCCUUGCACUAUACAUAAAAAGGCCCCUGGGCUCCCUGGCGCUUCCUCCAUGGACUGGUCCUUCAGGAGUGGGCGUGAGAAUGAGACUGCCAUAAGAAAACAAUGGGGAAGAAGACCUUGA